rnacentral:rRNA from 1 species
AGAGUUUGAUCCUGGCUCAGGAUGAACGCUAAGGCUUAACACUGCAAGUCGAACGAUGAAGCACCUUCGGGUGUGAAUUAGCGGCGAACGGGUGAGGAACACGUGAAGAAUCUGCCUUCAACUCUGGGAUAACUCCGGGAAACCGGGGCUAAUACCGGAUAUGAGCCUUGAUCGCAUGAUCGGGGCUGGAAAGUUUUUCGGUUGAAGAUGACUUCGCGGCCUAUCAGCUUGUUGGUGAGGUAAUGGCUCACCAAGGCGACGACGGGUAGCCGGCCUGAGAGGGCGACCGGCCACACUGGGACUGAGACACGGCCCAGACUCCUACGGGAGGCAGCAGUGGGGAAUAUUGGGCAAUGGAGGAAACUCUGACCCAGCGACGCCGCGUGAGGGAUGAAGGCCUUCGGGUUGUAAACCUCUUUCAGUAGGGAAGAAGCGAAAGUGACGGUACCUACAGAAGAAGCACCGGCUAACUAUGUGCCAGCAGCCGCGGUAAUACAUAGGGUGCAAGCGUUGUCCGGAAUUAUUGGGCGUAAAGAGCUCGUAGGUGGUUCGACACGUCGGAUGUGAAAAUCAGGGGCUCAACCCCUGACCUGCAUCCGAUACGGUCGAGCUAGAGUUUGGUAGGGGAGACUGGAAUUCCUGGUGUAGCGGUGGAAUGCGCAGAUAUCAGGAGGAACACCGAUGGCGAAGGCAGGUCUCUGGGCCAAUACUGACACUGAGGAGCGAAAGCGUGGGGAGCGAACAGGAUUAGAUACCCUGGUAGUCCACGCCGUAAACGGUGGGCGCUAGUUGUGCGAACCUUCCACGGUUUGUGCGACGCAGCUAACGCAUUAAGCGCCCCGCCUGGGGAGUACGAUCGCAAGAUUAAAACUCAAAGGAAUUGACGGGGCCCCGCACAAGCAGCGGAGCAUGCGGCUUAUUCGACGCAACGCGAAGAA